rnacentral:tRNA from 1 species
GCAGCCGUAGCUCAGCUGGAUAGAGCAUCCGCCUUCUAAGCGGACGGUCCCUGGUUCGAAUCCAGGCGGCUGUGCCA